AGAGUUUGAUCCUGGCUCAGGAUGAACGCUGACAGAAUGCUUAACACAUGCAAGUCUACUUGAACUUCGGUUUGGGUGGCGGACGGGUGAGUAACGCGUAAAGAACUUGCCUCACAGAUAGGGACAACAUUUGGAAACGAAUGCUAAUACCUGAUAUUAUGAUUUUAGGGCAUCCUAAGAUUAUGAAAGCUAUAUGCGCUGUGAGAGAGCUUUGCGUCCCAUUAGCUAGUUGGAGAGGUAACGGCUCACCAAGGCGAUGAUGGGUAGCCGGCCUGAGAGGGUGAACGGCCACAAGGGGACUGAGACACGGCCCUUACUCCUACGGGAGGCAGCAGUGGGGAAUAUUGGACAAUGGACCAAAAGUCUGAUCCAGCAAUUCUGUGUGCACGAUGACGUUUUUCGGAAUGUAAAGUGCUUUCAGUUGGGAAGAAAAAAAUGACGGUACCAACAGAAGAAGUGACGGCUAAAUACGUGCCAGCAGCCGCGGUAAUACGUAUGUCACAAGCGUUAUCCGGAUUUAUUGGGCGUAAAGCGCGUCUAGGUGGUUAUGUAAGUCUGAUGUGAAAAUGCAGGGCUCAACUCUGUAUUGCGUUGGAAACUGCAUGACUAGAGUACUGGAGAGGUAAGCGGAACUACAAGUGUAGAGGUGAAAUUCGUAGAUAUUUGUAGGAAUGCCGAUGGGGAAGCCAGCUUACUGGACAGAUACUGACGCUAAAGCGCGAAAGCGUGGGUAGCAAACAGGAUUAGAUACCCUGGUAGUCCACGCCGUAAACGAUGAUUACUAGGUGUUGGGGGUCGAACCUCAGCGCCCAAGCUAACGCGAUAAGUAAUCCGCCUGGGGAGUACGUACGCAAGUAUGAAACUCAAAGGAAUUGACGGGGACCCGCACAAGCGGUGGAGCAUGUGGUUUAAUUCGACGCAACGCGA
rnacentral:rRNA from 1 species